CGCGUCCACUUUGUGGUUCCCGACAGACGAUCGGGAAUCAAACUGAAUACACCGCUCUGCCCAUUCGUGGGCAGCAGCCGGAACAUGUUUGAGACUAGAUUGAUGGUCGAAAGUGUUCCGGUGGUCAUAGCGAGAGGGAAACGCCCGGUCACAUUCCGAACCCGGAAGCUAAGCCUCUCAGCGCCGAUGGUACUGCAAGGGGGACCUUGUGGGAGAGUAGGACGCCGCCGGAC
rnacentral:rRNA from 1 species